rnacentral:rRNA from 1 species
AUUUYUAUUAAAAUUAUUAAUAGUAUAAUCUGCUCAAUGAAUAAUUCAAUAGCCGCAAUUCGUGCUAAGGUAGCAUAAUCAUUUGUCUUUUAAAUGGGGACUAGAACAAAAGAUUUAACAUUUCAAUGUAUUUCUUUAAUUUAAUAUAUUUAAAUUAUUCUAAGUGUAAAAAAACACUUAUAAAAAAAAAAGACGAUAAGACCCUAUUGAACUUAACUUUAGUUAAACUGGGGCAGUAGAUUAAUUAAUAUUUUAAUUUAUUUUUUUACAAAAAAAUCCAAUAGCAUUGAUCUAAUCAGUUACCAUAGGGAUAACAGCGCAAUUAUUUUCAAAAGCUCUUAUUUAAAAUAUAGAUUACGACCUCGAUGUUGAAUUAAUAACCUAUUUAAAGCAAAAUUUAAAUAAAGGAAGUCUGUUCGACUUUUAAAAAAUUACAUGAUUUGAGUUCAGACCGGUAUAAGCCAGGUCGGCUUCCAUCUUUUAAACAAUUUUUUACAGUACGAAAGGACCUAAGAAUAUAAUUUAAUUAUAUUAUUGGCAGAUAAAUGCAUUAGAAUUAGAAUCUAAUAAAAGUCAA